rnacentral:tRNA from 1 species
GCGCCGCUAGCUCAACUAGGCAGAGCAAAUGACUCUUAAUCAUUAGGUUGUAGGUUCGAUUCCUACGCGGCGCACCA